CAGCAGCCGCGGGAAUACGAAGGGGGCUAGCGUUGUUCGGAUUAACUGGGCGUAAAGGGUGCGUAGGCGGGUUUUUAAGUCAGGGGUGAAAUCCCGAGGCUCAACCUCGGAACGGCCUUUGAUACUGGAAAUCUUGAGUCUGGGAGAGGUGAGUGGAACUGCGAGUGUAGAGGUGAAAUUCGUAGAUAUUCGCAAGAACACCAGUGGCGAAGGCGGCUCACUGGCCCGGUACUGACGCUGAGGCACGAAAGCGUGGGGAGCAAACAGGAUUAGAUACCCCAGUAGUCCCUGUCUCUUAUAC
rnacentral:rRNA from 1 species